rnacentral:rRNA from 1 species
CCUACGGGGGGCAGCAGUGAGGAAUAUUGGUCAAUGGGCGCGCGCCUGAACCAGCCAAGUAGCGUGAAGGAUGACUGCCCUACGGGUUGUAAACUUCUUUUAUAAAGUAAUAAAGUGAGGCACGUGUGCCUUUAUGUAUGUACUUUAUGAAUAAGGAUCGGCUAACUACGUGCCAGCAGCCGCGGUAAUACGGAGGCUCCGAGCGUUAUCCGGAUUUAUUGGGUUUAAAUGGAGCGUAGAUGGGUUGUUAAGUCAGUUGUGAAUGUUUGCGGCUCAACCGUAAACUUGCAAUUUAUACUGGCAGUCUUGAGUACAGUUGAGGUAGGCGGAAGUCGUGGUGUAGCGGUGAAAUGCUUAG